GACGAACGCUGGCGGCGUGCUUAACACAUGCAAGUCGAACGGAAAGGCCCUGCUUUUGUGGGGUGCUCGAGUGGCGAACGGGUGAGUAACACGUGAGUAACCUGCCCUUGACUUUGGGAUAACUUCAGGAAACUGGGGCUAAUACCGGAUAGGAGCUCCUGCUGCAUGGUGGGGGUUGGAAAGUUUCGGCGGUUGGGGAUGGACUCGUGGCUUAUCAGCUUGUUGGUGGGGUAGUGGCUUACCAAGGCUUUGACGGGUAGCCGGCCUGAGAGGGUGACCGGCCAUAUUGGGACUGAGAUACGGCCCAGACUCCUACGGGAGGCAGCAGUGGAGAAUAUUGCACAAUGGGCGGAAGCCUGAUGCAGCAACGCCGCGUGCGAGAUGACGGCCUUCGGGUUGUAAACCGCUUUCGCCUGUGACGAAGCGUGAGUGACGGUAAUGGGUAAAGAAGCACCGGCUAACUACGUG
rnacentral:rRNA from 1 species